rnacentral:misc_RNA from 1 species
GUAUGCUCCUAGCUUGUUAUAGACAUACUCAAUUCUAGUUUCUCGGAGAGAUUUAGUGAGAAUAUCAAAUAACUAAUCAUUUGAACUAACAAAACUUGUAGCAAUACAUCUCGACUCAAUCUUUUGUCUACAAUCUAUCUCUAUUUGCUUUGUCCUUUAAUGAAACACAGGAUUAAAAGCGAUAUGUAACACAGCUUGAUUGUCACAAAUCAGUUUCAUUUGUUU